rnacentral:tRNA from 1 species
CUUUAAGUAGUAUAAGAAGAAUACCCCACAUUUUCAAUGUGAAGUUAACAUUUGUUCUUAAAGU